ACUACUGUAUAUGUUAAUUAAUCUAACUAAUACCCUGUAAACAAAAUCCCUCAAAAUAACAAUUUUUAUUGUGCCCAUUCUUAACAUUUGCCCUCCCCCCCAAAAAAAAACCAACUGAUUUUAGCAGUAACUAACCACAAAACGUUACCAGAAUUGAGCACAGUAUAAAUCACUUCAUCGUCAGUACUGUACUUGAUAAUAGAGUAGAACUUCGAUUUAACGCGAAUCGAUUUAAGAUUAUCGAUUUAAAGCGACACCCACAAUUAAGGACAAUGUUUUAAUUUAAAGCGAAUCUUUCCUAUUUUGCGAGAGUCAAUCUGGUGCAUCAUAUUUUAAAUUUCGUGCCUAAUGUUUCCCACCAGACGCGUCUCUGGACACGCUACACGGCUGCCCGCCACCAUCCCACACCCUCGCGCAUCCUCAGUUCUCGCGCUGACGCUCCAGUGAACGGACUUAUUGUGUGACCCUCUCUCUUCUACCACAUGCAUCAACCAUCACCAUUAUUUCCAAGAGGCCAGCUACUACAGUACAUCAUUAACUACCCCACAGGUCAAGAAAUCAAGGCAAGCAAUUACACUGGAGCAGAAAAUCAAGGUGCUGGAAGCACUGCAGCGUGGAAAUGGUGGUUCAAGUGUGGGACGUCAAUUUAGACUGUCGGAGAACACUGUCCGCACUAUAAAGUUCAAUGAGGAGAAAAUUAGAGCAGCCUAUGCUUCACCUGAUGUUGCCAAGGGUAAACUCCACCUGAAGAUUGCUAUGUAUAUUGAGAUGGAAGAAGCACUGAACUUAUGGGUAGAAGACAUGCUGCGCCGAAAACUUCCUCUCACUGGCCCCUUGCUGCAAAACCAAGCCUACGAAAUACAGUCUCGGAUACUUGAAAAGGAAGAGAAGUCCAUCAAAGACAAUAUGUUCACAGCAAGUACAGGCUGGCUGUACAAAUAUAUCAAAAGGACGGGGCUACGGAAUGUGACGCUUUCAGGUGAAGCUGCAUCUGCCGACGCGGAGGCAGCCGAGGAUAUGAAGAAAGUUAUGAAGGAUAUAGUGUUAGAAAAUGGUUAUUCUCCUUGCCAAGUGUGGAAUUGUGAUGAAACUGGACUGUAUUGGAAAAAAAUGCUCAAGAAAACCUAUCUAAUGAAGAAUGACGAAAAAGCACCAGGGUUUAAGGUCAGCAAGGACAGACACUGACGAUUCUCAUGGCGAACCCAUCAGGCACCGCACGAAUGAAGCCACUCGUCAUCCACCACUCAGCUAGACCUUGUGCCCUGAAAAAUGUGCAUAUCCCGAAACUUCCUGUAAUUUGGCAAUCAAACAAGAAGGGGUGGAUGACUUCUGAUAUUUUCGAUGAGUGGUACAUCAGCCAUGCCACCCCAUUCAUCGAAAAUGUUAAAAAAAAUUGAACAUUAGCAAAAAGGCCUUGGUUCUCAUGGACAACGCAUCUAGCCCUCCAAACACCUGUGCAGUGUGAAUAAUGACGUAAACUUGACCUUCUUCCCUCCGAACGUGACUUCACUUAUUCAGCCACUAGAUCAAGGUGUUAUUGCCUUGUUCAAGAGAUAUUAUCUCAAGAAUACCAUGAGGCAAAUGGCUGAAGCUAUGAACAAGGACAACAAUAUGACAGCAGCAACGUUUUGGAAGAGUUACACCAUCAAAGAUGCCAUAGCUAACAUUGCAACUUGCAUGGAAAAGUGUGCCAGAAAGUGCACUAAAUGGAGUGUGGUGUAAUCUGUGGCCUGAGGUAGUCCAUGAUUUCAAGGGCUUUGAUGAAGGCUAGGACGUGAAAGACAUUAUGAAGCUCAUUAAGGAAGUGAGAGGUGAUUCAGGAUUUCAAGAAAUCCAAGAAGAUGUGACUGAACUGCUUGUUUGCAUGGAGGAUCCUCUCACUUCUGAAGAAGUCUUGGAGAUGGUGGAGAUGGCGAAAAAACACGAGGAAGCUACAGUUAAGCCCCAAACAGUGGGGAAGGAACUGACAAUUCCUAAGCUGAGGGAGUUUAUGCAGCACGUCACUUCUGCCACCCAGUCUGCACUGCAACAUGACCCUGAUAUGGAACGCAGUAUGCAAGUGGUGGAGGCGUUGAAUUGGGCUGCAUCUACGUACUUUCUGCUGCUAGAUCAACUGAUUAUGGCCCAGCAACAGAAGAAAAUCACCUCAAUCUUCUGUCCAUUAUCAACAGCUCCUGAGGUAGCUGGCCAAGGCCGUCAUCCAGUGCUUUCUGCGUGUCAGAUGUGUCAACAGCCACACCACUAGACAGUGAUGUGGAUGAUGAGCUGGUCGAGUUGAGCUCUGCAUCUUCAGAGGAUGAAUUGCCUUACUAAAGGAGAUGGGCUGAGGUGCAUCUGGGUGUAUACUCUCAGUCGGGGAGGGCCAGUGGCCCAAGGCAGCAGACAGUACUACGCAGUAUCAGUACCGUCCAACUCUGAACUCUUCUGCAGGAAGUGCUUGCCUCAUAUAUAUCAUUACACCAUAUAUUUUUCUCAUAUUUACUAGUUAAUAAAAGUCUUUGUUAAUAUUUUGUGUUUCUCUCAAGUACCUAACUAAAUUUUUCCAUUGAAACAACACUUUGAUUUAGCGUUCUCUUGGAACGUAUCUCAUGUUAAAUCGAAGUUCUACUGUACUUACAGUAUUGGAUAAUUGAGCGGUGGUCUUUUUAAAUCACUGAAAUGAUGUUGACAUGUAAACAAUGGUGUAGGCAGAAUGAGGAAGAGGGAAAAGGUACAGUAUUUUUAUGCAUCAAAUGGGUAUCAAUUUCUAAGAUGUUGUUUUUGUAAAAAGAAAAAGAAAAAGGGAAGUUUUCAAUGAAUUAAAAAGAUUUUGUUAUUAUUUUAGUUUCGGUCAUCCGGAGAAUCUAGGAAUUUAACUACAGUAUAGUCUCGAUU
rnacentral:misc_RNA from 1 species